GUAGUCCACGCUGUAAACGGUGGGUACUAGGUGUGGGGUCCAUUCCACGGGUUCCGUGCCGUAGCUAACGCUUUAAGUACCCCGCCUGGGGAGUACGGCCGCAAGGCUAAAACUCAAAGGAAUUGACGGGGCCCCGCACAAGCGGCGGAGCAUGCGGAUUAAUUCGAUGCAACGCGUAGAACCUUACCUGGGUUUGACAUGGAUCGGGAGCGCUCAGAGAUGGGUGUGCCUCUUUUGGGGUCGGUUCACAGGUGGUGCAUGGCUGUCGUCAGCUCGUGUCGUGAGAUGUUGGGUUAAGUCCCGCAACGAGCGCAACCCUUGUCCCUAGUUGCUACGCAAGAGCACUCCAGGGAGACUGCCGGUGACGAAACCGGAGGAAGGUGGGGAUGACGUACAAGUCCUCAUGGCCCUUAGUGGGUAGGGCUUCACACGUCAUACAAGUGGUCGGAACAGAGG
rnacentral:rRNA from 1 species